AAACCUUUUAUUUUCCUCAAUUAAGAGAUCGAUGUUUCAGUUUGUAGCCCUCAUCCUGAUGAAAGUUUGGGUUACAAAUUAAAACGUCGAUCUCUUAAUUGAGGAAAAUAAAAGUUAAGUUU